GACGAACGCUGGCGGCGUGCCUAAUACAUGCAAGUAGAACGCACAGUUUAUACCGUAGCUUGCUACACCAUAGACUGUGAGUUGCGAACGGGUGAGUAACGCGUAGGUAACCUGCCUGGUAGCGGGGGAUAACUAUUGGAAACUAUAGCUAAUACCGCAUAAUAUUAAUUAUUGCAUGAUAAUUAAUUGAAAGCUGCAAUUGCACCACUACCAUAUGGACCUGCGUUGUAUUAGCUAGUAGGUGAGGUAACGGCUCACCUAGGCGACGAUACAUAGCCGACCUGAGAGGGUGAGCGGCCACACUGGGACUGAGACACGGCCCAGACUCCUACGGGAGGCAGCAGUAGGGAAUCUUCGGCAAUGGACGAAAGUCUGACCGAGCAACGCCGCGUGAGUGAAGAAGGUUUUCGGAUCGUAAAGCUCUGUUGUAGGGGAAGAACGGGUGUGAGAGAGGAAAGUUCACAAUGUACCGGAAUCUUACAAGAAAGGGCCGGCUACCUACGU
rnacentral:rRNA from 1 species